rnacentral:rRNA from 1 species
UACGUAGGUGGCAAGCGUUGUCCGGAUUUACUGGGCGUAAAGAGCGCGCAGGCGGUCGUUCAAGUCGCGUGUGAAAGCCCCCGGCUCAACUGGGGAGGGUCACGCGAUACUGAUCGACUCGAAGGCAGGAGAGGGUAGUGGAAUUCCCGGUGUAGUGGUGAAAUGCGUAGAUAUCGGGAGGAACACCAGUAGCGAAGGCGGCUCGCUGGGCCACACCUGACGCUGAGACGCGAAAGCUAGGGGAGCGAACAGG